rnacentral:rRNA from 1 species
GAUGAACGCUAGCUACAGGCUUAACACAUGCAAGUCGCGGGGCAGCAUGGGGGUUGCUUGCAAUCCCCGAUGGCGACCGGCGCACGGGUGAGUAACGCGUAUCCAACCUGCCCUUCACCACGGGAUAACCCGGCGAAAGUCGGACUAAUACCGUAUGUUUUCCAUUGACGGCAUCCGAUUUGGACGAAAGGGUUGGCGGUGGGGGAUGGGGAUGCGUCCGAUUGGCCGGACGGCGGGGUAACGGCCCACCGUGGCUACGAUCGGUAGGGGUUCUGAGAGGAAGGGCCCCCACACGGGAACUGAGACACGGUCCAGACUCCUACGGGAGGCAGCAGUGAGGAAGAUUGGUCAAUGGGCGUAAGCCUGAACCAGCCAAGUAGCGUGCAGGAUGACGGCCCUAUGGGUUGUAAACUGCUUUUAUGCGGGGAUAAAGUGGCCCACGGGUGGGCUUUUGCAGGUACCGCAUGAAUAAGGACCGGCUAAUUCCGUG